UACGGGGGGGGCAAGCGUUGUUCGGAAUUACUGGGCGUAAAGGGCGCGUAGGCGGCCUUCUAAGUCGAACGUGAAAUCCCCGGGCUCAACUCGGGAACUGCGUCCGAUACUGGAAGGCUUGAAUCCGGGAGAGGGAUGCGGAAUUCCAGGUGUAGCGGUGAAAUGCGUAGAUAUCUGGAGGAACACCGGUGGCGAAGGCGGCAUCCUGGACCGGCAUUGACGCUGAGGCGCGAAAGCCAGGGGAGCAAACGGG
rnacentral:rRNA from 1 species